rnacentral:rRNA from 1 species
UACAGAGGUCUCGAGCGUUGUUCGGAUUCAUUGGGCGUAAAGGGUGCGUAGGUGGCGCGGUAAGUCGGGUGUGAAAUUUCGGAGCUUAACUCCGAAACUGCAUUCGAUACUGCCGUGCUUGAGGACUGGAGAGGAGACUGGAAUUUACGGUGUAGCAGUGAAAUGCGUAGAGAUCGUAAGGAAGACCAGUGGCGAAGGCGGGUCUCUGGACAGUUCCUGACACUGAGGCACGAAGGCCAGGGGAGCAAACGGG